rnacentral:rRNA from 1 species
UACGUAGGGUGCAAGCGUUGUCCGGAAUUAUUGGGCGUAAAGAGCUCGUAGGCGGUUCGUCACGUCGGCUGUGAAAUCCCGAGGCUCAACCUCGGGUCUGCAGUCGAUACGGGCGGACUUGAGUACUGCAGGGGAGACUGGAAUUCCUGGUGUAGCGGUGAAAUGCGCAGAUAUCAGGAGGAACACCGGUGGCGAAGGCGGGUCUCUGAGCAGUAACUGACGCUGAGGAGCGAAAGCGUGGGGGAGCGAACAGG